UACGUAGGGUCCGAGCGUUGUCCGGAUUUAUUGGGCGUAAAGAGCGUGUAGGCGGCCAGGUAGGUCUGCUGUGAAAACUCGAGGCUCAACCUCGAGACGUCGGCGGAAACCAUCUGGCUAGAGUCCGGAAGAGGAGAGUGGAAUUCCUGGUGUAGCGGUGAAAUGCGCAGAUAUCAGGAAGAACACCCGUGGCGAAGGCGGCUCUCUGGGACGGUACUGACGCUGAGACGCGAAAGCGUGGGGAGCGAACAGG
rnacentral:rRNA from 1 species